GACGAACGCUGGCGGCGUGCCUAAUACAUGCAAGUCGAGCGAUGAAGGUUGGUACUUGUACCGACGGGAUGAGCAGCGGACGGGUGAGUAACGCGUGGGGAAUCUGCCUUUGAGCGGGGGACAACAUCGGGAAACGAAUGCUAAUACCGCAUAAAAACUUUAAACACAAGUUUUAAGAGUGAAAGAUGCAAUUGCAUCACUCAAAGAUGAUCCCGCGUUGUAUUAGCUAGUUGGUGAGGGAAAGGCCCACCAAGGCGAUGAUACAUAGCCGGCCCGGGAGGGGUGUUCGCCAACAUGGGACCGGGGCACCGGCCAAAACCCUACGGGGGGGAGCAGGAGGGAAACUUUCGCCAUGGGGGGAAGUCUUGCCGGGGAACGCCGGGUGAGUGAAGGAGGGUCUCGGGUCGUUAAACUCUGUUGGUAGGGAAGAACGUUGGGUGGAAUUGAAAGCGCACGAAUUGACGGUACCUACUCAGAAAGCGACGGCUAACUACGUG
rnacentral:rRNA from 1 species